rnacentral:rRNA from 1 species
AUUGAACGCUGGCGGCAGGCCUAACAAAUGCAAGUCGAACGAGCGGCGGACGGGUGAGUAAUGUAUGGGAAACUGCCUGAUGGAGGGGGAUAACUACUGGAAACGGUAGCUAAUACCGCAUACAAUCAGAUGUGCCCAGAUGUGAUUAGCUAGUAGGUGGGGUAAAGGCUCACCAAGGCGAAGAUCCCUAGAUGGUCUGAGAGGCGGACCACCCACACUGGAACUGAGACACGGACCAGACUCCGACGGGAGGCAGCAGUGGGGAAUAUUGCACAAUGGGCGCAAGCCUGAUGCAGCCAUGCCGCGUGUAUGAAGAAGGCCUUCGGGUUGUAAAGUACUUUCAGCGGAGAGGCGUUACCCGCAGAAGAAGCACCGGCUAACUCCGUGCCAGCAGCCGCGGUAAUAC